GGUGCAGCAGGCGCGAAAACUUUACAAUGCUGGAAACAGCGAUAAGGGGACCUCGAGCGCCAGGUUACAAAUCUGGCUGUCGUGAUGCCUAAAAAGCAUUGCAUAGCAAGGGCCGGGCAAGACCGGUGCCAGCCGCCGCGGUAACACCGGCGGCUCGAGUGGUAACCGUUAUUAUUGGGUCUAAAGGGUCUGUAGCCGGCCGGAUAAGUCUCUUGGGAAAUCCAGCAGCUCAACUGUUGGGCUUUCAGGAGAUACUGUCUGGCUCGAGGCCGGGAGAGGUGAGAGGUACUUCAGGGGUAGGGGUGAAAUCUUGUAAUCCUUGAAGGACCACCAGUGGCGAAGGCGUCUCACCAGAACGGACCUGACGGCAAGGGACGAAAGCUAGGGGCACGAACCGGAUUAGAUACCCGGGUAGUCCUAGCCGUAAACGAUACUCGCUAGGUGUCGGCCACGGUGCGACCGUUGUCGGUGCCGUAGGGAAGCCGUGAAGCGAGCCACCUGGGAAGUACGGCCGCAAGGCUGAAACUUAAAGGAAUUGGCGGGGGAGCAC
rnacentral:rRNA from 1 species